GGGGACGUAGCUCAGUGGAAGAGCGCUCGCUUUGCAUGUGAGAGGUCCCGGGUUCGAUCCCCGGCGUCUCCA
rfam:Drosophila ananassae strain TSC#14024-0371.13 Ctg01_19793, whole genome shotgun sequence.